rnacentral:rRNA from 1 species
GCUUACGUCCAUACCACGUUGAAAGACGCCAUCCCGUCUGAUCUUUCAAGUAAAGCAACAUUAGGCCUUGUUUGUUUUUGAAUCGGAGACGGCUUAGGAGUCCAGGUAUGUUGAACUUU